UACGAAGGGGGGCUAGCGUUGCUCGGAAUUACUGGGCGUAAAGGGAGCGUAGGCGGGUUAUCAAGUUGGAGGUGAAAGCCCAGGGCUCAACCUUGGAAUUGCCUUCAAAACUGAUAGCCUAGAGUAUGAUAGAGGUAUGUGGAACUCCGAGUGUAGAGGUGAAAUUCGUAGAUAUUCGGAAGAACACCAGUGGCGAAGGCGACAUACUGGGUCAUGACUGACGCUGAGGCUCGAAAGCGUGGGGAGCAAACAGG
rnacentral:rRNA from 1 species